GGGGGUGUAGCUCAGUGGUAGAGCAUUUGACUGCAGAUCAAGUGGUUCCUUGGUCAAAUCCAGGUGUCCCCU
rnacentral:tRNA from 1 species